AAGAGCCUGUGUACAAGUCGAUUGCACAAUCAGACGAGCCCUCCAAAAUCCCAAACUAGGGAACAAAACUUCCUCUUCGCUGAACAUCGAAUUUGAGCUUGACUCACGCGAACUCUGACACCACAGCAAUGGCCGCUAGGAAUUUUCUGCUUCACCGCCUUCGGAUCAAUAGCUUCCAAGGCUUCACGGUGGCGCCGCCUCAGGGCCACCGUCUGUGGUGCAGUGCCACCUCAUCUCCUGAAGAAGCUACCGAGAACGCAUCAGGCGGGACCCACACCGGCGGUUCCGACGUCGAGCUGGAUGAUACAGAAUGGAGGGACAAAGAAGAGAAGAUUGUGAGAGACAUUGAACCGAUCGUUAAGCUAACCAGACAUAUUCUCUUCUCACCAAGGUACAAGAAUGGGGAGCUAUUGUCUAUGGAGGAUGAAAGAGCCAUAGCAGAAAACGUUCUUAUUUAUCAUCCAGAUUAUGAAGAUAAAAUCGGAAGUGGUUUGUGCGGCAUUAUGGUUCUUUCUUCCGGUCAAUUGCUUCGAAUGUGUUGUCAAUUGCUUCGAAUGUGCUGCAUAUUCCUGGCCUUCUAAUUAUCAACAAUCAUAAGAACAUGCGCAAGGGCUAUGGCCUUAGGAAGUAAAUAACACCAUUUCAAAAGGUAGACUUAAAUAUAGGGUCGAUUACCCUUUUACCCUUAUGUUCAUUUGCUCUUGUAGACUUGAACCACUCAUUUGAAGUAGACGUCUAUCUACAGUUUCUCCAAUGCCAUUAUGUGAAGUCAAAUCAAGGUUAUCACUGGUAGUUUUACCACUGCACAAAAUACUGAAGCGUAAGUGCUCCAUGGGGCUGUUCCCUUUGGCUGAGCGGAUGGUAUUAUGACUUGUAGUGACCAAUGAGAAGUUAAGCCUUCUGAACUCUAAACACACAAAAUAGAAAAUGAGCAACAAAACAGAACAGAGACCUGACCUGCAGCUAUGACGAUUUGUGCUCCACCAAAAUAAAAGUCAAGGAACAACUCGACGGACAUGCAAGAUUCAGAACUCAUGAAAUGAAAACUGAAAACGCCCUGCAGAACAUUAAACAUAUUGUGUUCAGUACAGAGCAAUUGGGUGAAGAACUUAACUGGAAAAUGCCUCGCUUGGAUGGAACUGUACUAGAGAACAGUGAGUUGAAGGGCAUUUAAAUGAUAUAUUGCCAUCUGGUAUUGGAAAUCGCUACAUGGAUUGGUGAUUUCCUGGUGAUAUGGCAGAAAGCUCCAGAUUGGUUGAUCAGCAUCCUCUAUAUCUAUUUCCAAGGUGCCUUUUUGUGGUAAGAACUGACUGUAGCUGGAUCGACUUCUCAUAUCGGGUGUGCCUUGAAGAAUACAUUAAAAAUAAGUACCAAAUAAGUGCAGAAAGGUUUGUUAAUAAAAGGUUUCUUAAAGAUCUUACUAAACGAUGGGGUAUUUGAUAUGGAGGUAUUGGAACUUAAAUUUGUGAAGUAAAUGGUAGAAGAUGACAAUUGACUGGGAUGUGUAGCUUAUUUCUGAAGGGAGCGUAGAAAAUUAUUGAAGCUAGCUUGCAGAACAUUUUUCUUUGUAAAAUUUCAUGAUUAGGUAACUCGCAGACAGUAAGGAAUAAUGUUUUGUGGA